UUAAACUGAAGAGUUUGAUCCUGGCUCAGAUUGAACGCUGGCGGCAUGCCU
rnacentral:rRNA from 1 species